GGGCCAUAAAGAAUCAGGUGGUUAAUAGCGCACCCCCUGAUAAGGGUGAGGGCCCUGUAUUAAAAUCCAAUAUGGUUC
rnacentral:tRNA from 1 species